CGUAAUCCUCCAAUUCCUCAUGCAUCAUAUCAUGAAAAAUAGCAGUCAUAGCACGUUGAUAAGUAGCACCAGCA
rnacentral:tRNA from 1 species